rnacentral:lncRNA from 1 species
GGAAUUAUAUGGGAUUGUGCACAGACUAUAGUCGAGCUUCAGACUAAUAUCCCCAGUCGACUCCCUCCCCCUUUUGUUGGUCUCAAAUGUUUAUAGAAAUGCGGAAAGCAAUCAAUUUAAUACAAUGUGAGUCAACAUUGGGGGUCUAUUAGUGCAUUACCGAGGGUGAAAUCAAAGGCAUAAAAGGGUUCCAAAGUCAUAAGCCAGGAGCUAACAUGCAUCCACGUCCUAGGUGGUGGAGGAAGAGAAGAGAAGAGAUGCGACCUAGGGUAAGUGAGGGAGAGGGGAAGAGAGAAACAAGAGGGGGGAACGUGUGCAAAAACUGACUUCAUGCCUUCACUGGUCAACAAUGGCAGUAACAACAACUGGCCUAGAUUUUGGUGGGGUGCAGCUACGGGCGGGGUGGGUGUCCCUUGAGUCGCUCCGAGUGCGACACGGGGACCUCUUCUAUCCUCAACUUGAUAUAUAUACACUAACAAUUGUUGUCAAAAUAUGUUGUGUAUUAUGAGAAUGUAUAGAAAAUGCACGAAUUGACAUAGGAACAAAAACAUUAAAUGAUGACUUUGUCAGGUCCAUUAGAAACAGAACAAUUACUAUCUACUCCCUCAGUUUGUAUUUGUAAGGCACACAUGCAUAUCAAGAUUCAAAGUUUACAAUAUUUGACCAAUAAUUU